rnacentral:rRNA from 1 species
GGGGAAUUUUGGACAAUGGGGGAAACCCUGAUCCAGCAAUGCCGCGUGAGUGAAGAAGGCCUUCGGGUUGUAAAGCUCUUUUGUCAGGGAAGAAACGGUGGGGGCUAAUAUCCUCUGCUAAUGACGGUACCUGAAGAAUAAGCACCGGCUAACCACGUGCCAGCAGCCGCGGUAAUACGUAGGGUGCGAGCGUUAAUCGGAAUUACUGGGCGUAAAGGGUGCGCAGGCGGUUGUACAAGACGGAUGUGAAAUCCCCGGGCUUAACCUGGGAAUGGCAUUCGUGACUGUAUAGCUAGAGUGUGUUAGAGGGGGGUAGAAUUCCACGUGUAGCAGUGAAAUGCGUAGAUAUGUGGAGGAAUACCGAUGGCGAAGGCAGCCCCCUGGGAUAACACUGACGCUCAUGCACGAAAGCGUGGGGAGCAAAC